rnacentral:rRNA from 1 species
AGAGUUUGAUCCUGGCUCAGGAUGAACGCUGGCGGCGUGCCUAACACAUGCAAGUCGAACGAAGCACCUUACCUGAUUCUUCUGAUGAAGGUCUGGUGACUGAGUGGCGGACGGGUGAGUAACGCGUGGGUAACCUGCCCUGUACAGGGGGAUAACAGUUGGAAACGGCUGCUAAUACCGCAUAAGCGCACGAGAGGACAUCCUCUUGUGUGAAAAACUCCGGUGGUACAGGAUGGGCCCGCGUCUGAUUAGCUGGUUGGCAGGGUAACGGCCUACCAAGGCGACGAUCAGUAGCCGGUCUGAGAGGAUGAACGGCCACAUUGGAACUGAGACACGGUCCAAACUCCUACGGGAGGCAGCAGUGGGGAAUAUUGCACAAUGGGGGAAACCCUGAUGCAGCAACGCCGCGUGAGUGAAGAAGUAUUUCGGUAUGUAAAGCUCUAUCAGCAGGGAAGAUAAUGACGGUACCUGACUAAGAAGCUCCGGCUAAAUACGUGCCAGCAGCCGCGGUAAUACGUAUGGAGCAAGCGUUAUCCGGAUUUACUGGGUGUAAAGGGUGCGUAGGUGGCAGUGCAAGUCAGAUGUGAAAGGUCGGGGCUCAACCCCGGAGCUGCAUUUGAAACUGCAUAGCUGGAGUACAGGAGAGGCAGGCGGAAUUCCUAGUGUAGCGGUGAAAUGCGUAGAUAUUAGGAGGAACACCAGUGGCGAAGGCGGCUUACUGGACGAUAACUGACGCUGAGGCUCGAAAGCGUGGGGAGCAAACAGGAUUAGAUACCCUGGUAGUCCGCGCCGUAAACGAUGAAU